UACGGAGGAUGCAAGCGUUAUCCGGAAUGAUUGGGCGUAAAGCGUCCGCAGGUGGCUAUGUAAGUCUGCUGUUAAAGAGUCUAGCUCAACUAGAUAAGAGCAGUGGAAACUACAAGGCUAGAGUACGUUCGGGGCAGAGGGAAUUCCUGGUGUAGCGGUGAAAUGCGUAGAUAUCGUGAGGAACACCAGAGGCGAAGGCGGUUACCUGGACAGUUACUGACGCUCAGGCACGAAAGCAUGGGGAGCAAAAGGG
rnacentral:rRNA from 1 species